GGAGGCAACUCUGACCCAGCCAUGCCGCGUGAAGGAAGACUGCCCUAUGGGUUGUAAACUUCUUUUAUAGAGGAAGAAACCCUCCCACGUGUGGGAGGCUGACGGUACUCUACGAAUAAGGACCGGCUAACUCCGUGCCAGCAGCCGCGGUAAUACGGAGGGUCCAAGCGUUAUCCGGAAUCAUUGGGUUUAAAGGGUCCGUAGGCGGGCAAUUAAGUCAGAGGUGAAAUCCCACAGCUCAACUGUGGAACUGCCUUUGAUACUGGUUGUCUUGAGUUAUAUUGAAGUGAGUAGAAUAUGUAGUGUAGCGGUGAAAUGCUUAGAUAUUACAUAGAAUACCGAUUGCGAAGGCAGA
rnacentral:rRNA from 1 species